CAGAACUCCAGGUCAAUUAUCAUGAUGACAGACAGGUGGGGUCUGGAGCUGCUCUUCAGCCAGGCAUCAUCAACAUCUACACAAACCUUCUCCCCACACUAAAAGAUAGCACAUCACCACCGCAAGUCAAAUGCUGUAUUCAAAUGGCUCAGUGGACUGUGGAGGCCAUUGCAUAUGAUUCACAUCGUUUUCAUCAGACCAUUCAGUGACCUCUCGUGCUCAGUGGAUGGGGUCAUUGUCAUCCUGAAAGAGAUCCCUCAGGUUACGCCCGGUGGGAGUGGCUAGAUGCACCUGUGGCUCCUUACAAUCAGCAAGGAUGGUUAAAUGAUGAGCCAACUUGAGCAUUGUGGCCAGUGGGCCGAAUCAGCUGCCAGAGUGUGGUGUUGUUGUCUUGCGUUCUGCUUAAGGACUAGUCUCUGCUGGCUAAAGAGCUGGGUAGAGUGACCAGCUUUGCACUUAUGAGGUGUGCUUUUGUGUCGGAAUCGUCUUUUUAGAUAAAUAAAUGUUCUUUUGUUGAUGUUACCCAAUCAGUUUUCGUGCCUCUGUAUCUGUUUCUUCUUU